GUUUGAUCAUGGCUCAGGAUGAACGCUGGCGGCGUGCUUAAUACAUGCAAGUCGAACGGAGACUGCAGCGAUGUAGUCUUAGUGGCGAACGGGUGAGUAACGCGUUGGUGACCUGCCCUAAAGCGAGGGAUAACAGUUCGAAAGGACUGCUAAUACCGCAUGAUGUUACAGGCGUUAGAGAACUGUAACGAAAGGCGUGAGCCGAUUUAGGAGGGACCCGCGUCCCAUCAGCUAGUUGGUAGGGUAACGGCCUACCAAGGCGACGACGGGUAGGGGGCCUGAGAGGGUGACCCCCCACACUGGCACUGAAACACGGGCCAGACACCUACGGGUGGCAGCAGUAGGGAAUAUUGCACAAUGGGCGAAAGCCUGAUGCAGCAACGCCGCGUGCACGAUGAAGGCCUUCGGGUCGUAAAGUGCUUUUCGGGGAGACGAGGAAGGACGGUAUCCCCGGAAUAAGGAUCGGCUAACUACGUGCCAGCAGCCGCGGUAAAACGUAGGAUCCGAGCGUUAUCCGAAUUCACUGGGCGUAAAGCGCGUGCAGGCGGAUCAGUAAGUUGGAUGUAAAAUCUCCUGGCUCAACUGGGAGGGGACGUACAAGACUGCUGGACUAGAGGAUGGCAGAGGAAGGUGGAAUUCCCGGUGUAGUGGUGAAAUGCGUAGAUAUCGGGAGGAACACCAGAGGCGAAGGCGGCCUUCUGGGCCAUACCUGACGCUCAGACGCGAAAGCUAGGGUAGCAAACGGGAUUAGAAACCCCGGUAGUCCUAGCCGUAAACGAUGUAGACUUGGUGUUGGGUGUGUAAAAACACACGGUGCCGAAGCAAACGCGAUAAGUCUACCGCCUGGGGACUACGGCCGCAAGGUUAAAACUCAAAUGAA
rnacentral:rRNA from 1 species